rnacentral:rRNA from 1 species
GUCCAGACUCCUACGGGAGGCAGCAGUGGGGGAUAUUGCACAAUGGGGGAAACCCUGAUGCAGCGACGCCGCGUGGGCGAAGAAGUAUUUCGGCAUGUAAAGCCCUAUCAGCAGGGAAGAAGAAAUGACGGUACCUGAGUAAGAAGCACCGGCUAAAUACGUGCCAGCAGCCGCGGUAAUACGUAUGGUGCAAGCGUUAUCCGGAUUUACUGGGUGUAAAGGGAGCGCAGGCGGCACGGCAAGCCUGAUGUGAAAGCCCGCGGCCCAACCGCGGGACUGCAUUGGGAACUACCGGGCUGGAGUGCCGGAGAGGUAGGCGGAAUUCCUAGUGUAGCGGUGAAAUGCGUAGAUAUAAGGAAGAACACCAGUGGCGAAGGCGGAUGACUGGACGGCAACUGACGGUGAGGCGCGAAAGCGUGGGGAGCAAACAGGAUUAGAUACCCCAGUACC